rnacentral:tRNA from 1 species
GGGCCCAUGGUCUAGCGGUUAUGACGACACCCUUACAAGGUGUAGGUCCCCAGUUCAAUUCUGGGUGGGCCCA